rnacentral:lncRNA from 1 species
GCACAGGGUGAUACCAGACACUCCCAUUCCCGCCCUUAUUCGCCACUCCCUUUACCCCUCAAGUAACCUGCUUCUCUCUCUCUCUCUUUUGUUAGAUUCGCUACCUUUCGACUAAAGAGGCCACAGUUUUUAGAUUUUAGAUUUUAGAUCUUAGGUCUAAGGUCUAGACCGAACCGAAAUGAAGCGCUGCUAUGCGAUUUGACUUUGCUUCGGUGCCGAUUCGGUCUAAGCUACAGCUUCGGCCUAAGCAAACGCCAUAGAUAUUUAUAUAAAACUUUUUCUUUUUUAGUUAUUAGUCAAAAAUAUAUAUAUAUAUAUUAUUUUUUAUAUAUAAAGAUCUAAUUUUUUUUAUUAAAUGAAAAAAAUCCUCCCAAAUCAAAAUCAAAAUCAAAUGGGCUUGAAAGAGCUAGCUUCAUUAUUCUCUCUCGAUUUCUGUUUUAUCUCAACGUAACGUACGUGAUUUAAUUUGUCAAAGGUACUUUGAGCGAAGAGAAGGCAACGGACGUGAGCGUGGGGAAGGGCGGGGUGCAUGUAGGCGCGACCCAAGGCAAGCCAAGCGGCGGCACCUCUGUCGAUGUGGGGAAGGGUGGGGUGCAUGUGGCUGCACCCAGCAAGCAGGGCGGUGGCGGCACCACUGUCAACGUUGGGGGCAAGGGACAAGCAGGCGUCGGAGUGAACGUGCCCGGCAAGCAGGGGAAGAAACCGGUGGUUGUCACCGUAAAACCCGGCAA